GUCCCGCCUGCCCUGUGACUACAGGUUAAACGGCCGCGGUAUUUUGACCGUGCAAAGGUAGCGCAAUCACUUGUCUUUUAAAUGAAGACCCGUAUGAAAGGCACCACGAGGGCUUAACUGUCUCCUUCCCCCCGUCAAUGAAAUUGAUCUCCCCGUGCAGAAGCGGGGAUUUAUUUACAUAAGACGAGAAGACCCUAUGGAGCUUUCAGGCUUCUGAACAGACCACUAUUUUCUUAACUUACACUAGACACCUGUCCCUGUUCUGCUUGCCUUUGGUUGGGGCGACUGCGGGGAAUUAAAAAACCCCCGCGUGGACUGAGAACAUAACCCCUUUCUCAUACCCACGGACUACACUCCCAAGUAUCAGAAUUUCUGACCAAAAUAUUGAUCCGGCACCGCCGAUCAGCGAACCAAGUUACCCUAGGGAUAACAGCGCAAUUCCCUUCUAGAGCCCAUAUCGACAAGGGGGUUUACGACCUCGAUGUUGGAUCAGGACAUCCUACUGGUGCAGCCGCUACUAAGGG
rnacentral:rRNA from 1 species